rnacentral:lncRNA from 1 species
GAUCUUGUUACGGAUGGUUGUGAGCCACCAUGUGGUUGCUGGGAUUUGAACUCUGGACCUUCGGAAGAGCAGUCGGGUGCUCUUACCCACUGAGCCAUCUCACCAGCCCAAACUGUAUCUUUUUAUGUAAGGAACUUGAGUAUCCAAAGAUUUUGGUAUCCAUGAGACCUAUCUCGCCCAUUCUGAGGGAAGACUGUUAAGAAUCUUGCUCUUUUUUUUGUUGUUCAAACAGUUUCCGAUGUUAUAGUUCUAGCAGUCUAUGAAGUUCUAAAUGACUCUUAGGGCUAGCCUGCAACUGUUGACAUCUUAGGGCUAGCCUGCAACUGUUGACAUCUUAGGGCUAGCCUGCAACUGUUGACAGAGAUGCUUCACAGGGGUGCUUUGUUAUGCUUUCCUUUUUUUUUUUUUCUUUUGGUUUUUUGAGGCAUCUCAACUGUGUGUCCCUGAGUAGAUUUGAGCUCGGUAUGUAGACCAGAUGGGCUCUGAACUUCCUGUGGUCCUGCUUCUGCUUCCCAAAUACUGAUGGUACAGGUGUGAGCCACAGCAUCUAGCCUUUGAAUGAAGGUAUCUAAAUCAGUCGUGAUAGCAUACACCUUGUCUUAGUUACUGUUGCUGUGAUAAAGCACUGUAACCAAGAGAGAUUACAGAAGGAAACAGUUAACUGGGGCUUAGAGUUCCAGAUGAGUCCAUCACCUCAUCCCUCAGUCAGGCCGGGAUCACAGCAGGGGCCUGGCAGGGGGUGUGACUGGCAUGGUGCUAGAACGUUAGAGCUCACAUCCUGACCCAGGAAGCAAGAAUAAUGGAAAUAGUAAUUUUUGUUAUUGUUAUUUAACAACUUUCUGGCCGUCUGGCUUCUACAUGUUAAACUAUAUAUUGUGUAGGAACAGUUUCUUUUUUCUAUUUUAGUUUUCAUCAUGUGCACUCAUGUGGGUCGUGUCAGAGCAUGUGUAGAUGAGUGUAGAUGCCCAUGGAGGCCAGAGGAAGGUGUUGGAUUCCCUGGAGUAGGAGUUCCAAGCAUUUUUGAGCUAUCUGUGGGUGCUGAGAACUGAACUCGGGUCCUCAAUAACAGCAAUCCAAGCCCUUAACUGCUGAGCCAUAUUUCUAGUCCUCUUAAUGGCAUUUUGGGACAUGAUGGGAACAUUCUAAGAUAGGGCUAAUUUGAGGUAAUAGUCUACUGGGUUCUGUCUUGUUCGUGGUUCUUUACCCCCUCUGCUGUUUUCUUCCCCUCCCCUCUCUCUGUGUUGUCCCCUCUGCAAUUCCACCGUCCCUGUUGCCUUGAUAUUUCUACCUUGCCUCUCUGGCCCAGAGCACUGGAGCCAGCCAGCUGUGAACUGAAAUUGUAAGCGAAAACGUUUACUCCAAAGAGUGAGAGUUACAGUCUCCACGUGCCUGUGUUGUUCCAUAUUUACCUUACCUUAGUUCAGGCUGACACAUUGCUCAGUACCACAUCUGGCUGUAGCUGUUUUACUGGAUAGUGCAACUCUUAAAGCUUACUCCUCAAGGAGUUUAUGGGUCAGUAGCAACAGCAUCCUGUAAGAGCUUGCUAUUCUCUUAGCCCUAUCCUACACUACUGAAUAAAGCAUUUAAAAAUAAGGAAUUUAAAAAGAGGGAAAUAUAUGUUAAAAGACUUGGCCAUACACUACAUUUGUCUCCUAGUUCACUAUUAACACUAACUUUUCAAUUCCUUUCAUCUUCCUUGGUUGUCAUUAAUGUUGGUAUCUGCUUUUUAUUCCCUACCCUGUCAUGUGCAUUAAAAUAGCAAGGAUUUUCCUUUGCUUUAGCACUUACUGUAUCUGGAGAGGUACCAGUUAUGAGUUAGUCGUGUGCCUGAGUCACAUCGUUAAUUAUCACCACUGAAUCUCUACCGCUUGUCCAUGAGCCAUUCGAGUUCCUUUUUGUGUGUGGAGUGACUUUUGGGUUGAGGAAAUGACCCAGUUGGCAAAGUAUGCACCAUACAAAACUAAGGUCUUUAUGUGCCCAGGACCCAAAGCUAAGCGUGGCUGUGUGUGCCUGGAAUCCCAGGGCUGGGGAAGGAGAGAUAGGAGGGUCCCUGGGCUUGCUGACUAGUUAUUACAGCCAAAUCAACAAGCCCCGGGUGCAGUCAGAGAGCCUGUCUCAAAAAAUAAGGUGGAGAAUGAUUGGAUUAAGAGCCCUGGCUAUCACUGAGUGUGGUGGCCUGCACUUUAAUCUCAGCACUUGGGAGGCCAAAGCAGGUGGAUCUCAGAGUUUGAGGUCAACCUGGUCUACUAAGUGAGUCCGGAAUAGCCAGGGCUACACAGAAAAACCUUGUCUCAAAGAAAAAAAACCAACCAAACAAAAAAAGAGUCCUAGCCAUCCUGGGACUCAUUCUCUAGAUCAGCCUGGCUUUGAAUUCAAAGAACCUUUACAAGUACUAACCACAUUAUCUUUUCUUUUAUCUCAGUGUCUGUCUGUCUCUCUCUCCCUUCCUUCCUUCCUCCCUCCCUUCCUUCCCUCACCCCCUUCUCUCUCUCUUAACAGAGUUUCUUUGUGUAGAGCCUUGGCUGUCCUAGAACUUACUUUGUCGACCGAGCUGGCCUUGAACUCAGAGAAAUCCACCUGCCCCUGCCUCCCAAAUGCUGGGAUUAAAGGCUUGUGCACUAUGCCAGAGUAGAAUUAUAUUAUUUUAAUUACUGUAGAUUUGUAGUGAGAUACAGAGUUUUUGUUUACUUGGUCCAAAAAAACAAACCUGGGGUUUAUGUAUACUAGGCAAGCACUUUACAUACAUACACACAUACACAACACACACACACUCACACACACACACACACACACACACACACACGCAUGUUUGUAUAUGUAUGUGUGUGUAUAUAUAUAUAUAUAUAUGUAUGUAUGUAUGUAUGUAUCUGGCACUUGGUGCUGAGCCUUUAAACUAAUACAACCAUUUUAUAUUAACUACUUAAGCAUUUAUAUCUGAUUAUACAGCAUGAAAUAAUUAUGAAUAUAUCAUUAAAUAUGCUGCAUUAAUUUUUUUAGUGUUUUACUUGAUCAUAGCAGUAAGUCAUAUGCAGGUAAGUGCAAUUUUCAUAGGUCAUUUCUUAUAUCAUUUGAUUUUUCUGCUUAUGCAGCAUCUAAAAAUAAUUACUGAAAAAUCAUUGGUUGUAAUUUACCUGCCAUUACUCUUUAAAUGACUCUUAAAGGCAUUCGUGGCUGUUGCCUUUUGAGUGUUCUUUCU